CCAGUGAUUAACUUAAACGGCCGCGGUAUCUUAACCGUGCAAAGGUAGCAUAAUCAUUUGCCUAUUAAUUGUAGGCUGGAAUGAACGGAUGAACGAAGUAAAGACUGUCUAUAUCACUCCCAUAAAAAUUAAUAUUUGAAUGAAGAAGUUCAAAUUACACCGAAGGACAAGAAGACCCUAUAGAGCUUUAAUUUUAGUUACGCGCUCUAAUAUAAAAUUUUGGUUGGGGCGACCUAGGAAUAAUCUUAUCAUCCUAAAAAAAUAGAUUUAUAAAUCAAACCUAAGAUCCUUUUUAGAUCUCAAGAGAAGCUACCUUAGGGAUAACAGGCUAAUUUUUCUUUAGAGCUCUUAUCAAAAGAAAAGGUUGGCACCUCGAUGUUGGCUUAGGGAAUCUAAAUAGCGCAAAAGCUAUACAAGAGGGUUUGUUCAACCCAUAACCCCCUACGUGA
rnacentral:rRNA from 1 species